UAACCUAGAGUAUGGGAGGGGGAGAUGGAAUUAGUGGUGUAGGGGUAAAAUCCGUAGAUAUCACUAGGAAUACCGAAAGCGAAGGCGAUCUCCUGGAACAAUACUGACGCUAAGGCGUGAAAGCGUGGGGAGCAAACGGGAUUAGAUACCCCGGUAGUCCACGCCCUAAACGAUGUUCACUAGUCGUCGGAAUGCUAGUCAUUUCGGUGAUGCACUUAACAGAUUAAGUGAACCGCCUGGGGAGUACGGUCGCAAGAUUAAAACUCAAAGGAAUAGACGGGGACCCGCACAAGUGGUGGAGCAUGUGGUUUAAUUCGAAGAUACGCGAAGAACCUUACCUAGCCUUGACAUUGAAAGAACACCCUAGAGAUAGAGUGGUGCCCUUCGGGGAACUUGAAAACAGGUGCUGCACGGCUGUCGUCAGCUCGUGUCGUGAGAUGUUGGGUUAAGUCCCGCAACGAGCGCAACCCUCGUCCUUAGUUGCCAGCAGGUUAAGCUGGGCACUCUAAGGAGACUGCCUACGCAAGUAGGAGGAAGGUGAGGACGACGUCAAGUCAUCAUGGCCCUUAUGGCUAGGGCUACACACGUGCUACAAUGGGGCGUACAGAGAGUUGCGAUACCGCGAGGUGGAGCCAAUCUCAUAAAGCGUCUCUCAGUUCGGAUUGGAGUCUGCAACUCGACUCCAUGAAGCUGGAAUCACUAGUAAUCGUAGAUCAGCAAUGCUACGGUGAAUACGUU
rnacentral:rRNA from 1 species